UUGCGUGCAGCCAGAAUCAGCGGGAGGAGCGGCCGAGGUAUCGCGGUAUUUGGGGGCUGCCCUCGAGACACGCCUGCAGCGGAUCUUAAAUUCUGACAGAGCUGUAUGGAGCCCAGUUCUAGCAAGCUUCCAGGACCCGAAGUCACCAGACCCCACAUGGAAUCAAGGGCCACAUGUUCGGCUGCUGCUCCCUUGGAGAGACAGUUCCGAGUUCUCAUAGGUGUUACUGGGAGUGUUGCAGCCUUGAAGUUGCCUCUUCUAGUGUCAAGACUUUUGGAUAUUCCUGGCCUAGAAGUAGCAGUGGUCACAACUGAGAGGGCUAAACAUUUCUACAACCCCCAGGAUGUUCCUGUCACCCUCUACAGCGACGCUGAUGAAUGGGAGAUGUGGAAGUGCCGAUCUGAUCCAGUUCUCCACAUUGACCUGCGGAGAUGGGCAGACCUCAUGCUGGUGGCUCCUCUUGAUGCCAACACUCUGGGGAAGGUGGCCAGUGGCAUCUGUGACAACUUGCUUACCUGUGUCAUCCGGGCCUGGGACCGCAGCAAGCCCCUGCUCUUCUGCCCAGCAAUGAACACUGCCAUGUGGGAGCACCCCCUCACUGAGCAGCAGGUGGGCCAGCUCAAGGCCUUCGGCUAUGUCGAGAUCCCCUGUGUGGCCAAGAAGCUGGUCUGUGGAGACCAAGCCCAGAACCUCUCUAAACUGCUAUGGCUGUUGCUGAGCAAGAGGAGGAAGCCUUUGAGCAAGGCCCAGCCUCCACCCUGGACUGUCUCCAGCUCUUCCUCCACACAACUGAUGUGUCCCCCUGCAGCCUCCCCAUUGCCUCAGGACACUGUCCUGGACAAAGGCCAGCCCUGUUCUCAAGGCACUUCUGGUUCAGUGAGUAGCCAAAAGAGCAGAUAGACAAGCCCAGGGAGGAAGGGAUGGAGGCAUGCAGCAGAGGAGUCCCACCCAGGGGACAAGAACACACUCCUCUUACCAGCUUCUGGGGAAGGAGACUCGUAUGUUCUGAGCAUUGUGUGCCAGGCUCUUCCUGUUGCGUAUAUGACUGUACUUCAUCCAUCAUCUUGUGAGGCCACUGUGAAAGUAGCUCCACUCUAGGCAGGUACAGCCAAGAACAAAGGAUUCUCCCUACCUUCAGUAUCCAGUUGAGAGCUACAGUAUCUCUCUGGGAGUGGCAGACCACCAGCAUUUUUCAUCUUCCUCACCUCUGUGUGUUGCAGCAGCUCUAUUCCAG